rnacentral:misc_RNA from 1 species
AGAAAUGUAGAAUCAAGCAGAAAACUAUAUCCCGUGUCCUUGAUUUUAUUGAAAGAAAGCACGAGAUAAGAAGCAAAAGAGCUAUCAGUAUAACAUUAGGAUUAGGUGAUUACAAUCUGUGAUAUGAUAUAGCCAACACCUGAUAUCCAGACAUGCAAAAACACAAAAUGAUUCUCAAAUAUGUAGUGAUUUCCAGGAACUUGAUUGUCAACAAAUUCCAAUGACACAGCAUUUAUAAUAGACUUAGAAAUAAUAUUUAUUGUUCAAAUACACAAUCCUGAAGAAGUUAAAGGGGUCUGUUGUACAUUUAAACCUGUGAACUCAAUCUGUGCAGCACAUAUUGCUUGCUGCUGGAAAAUUUU